rnacentral:rRNA from 1 species
AGUCAAUAGAUACCCAGGUAGUCCAUGCCGUAAACGAUGAUUGCUAGGUGUGGGGGGGUCUGACCCCUUCCGUGCCGGAGUUAAACACAAUAAGCAAUCCACCUGGGGAGUACGGCCGCAAGGUUGAAACUCAAAGGAAUUGACGGGGGCCCGCACAAGCAGUGGAGUAUGUGGUUUAAAUUCGAAGCAACGCGAAGAACCUUACCAGGUCUUGACAUCCACCGAAUCCUGUAGAGAUACGGGAGUGCCCUUCGGGGAACGGUGAGACAGGUGGUGCAUGGUUGUCGUCAGCUCGUGUCGUGAGAUGUUGGGUUAAGUCCCGCAACGAGCGCAACCCUUGUGAAUAGUUGCUACGAAAGAGCACUCUAUUCAGACCGCCGUUGACAAAACGGAGGAAGGUGGGGAUGACGUCAAAUCAUCAUGCCCCUUAUGACCUGGGCUACACACGUACUACAAUGGCCGUUAACAGAGGGAUGCAAUGCCGCGA